rnacentral:tRNA from 2 species
GCGCUCAUAGCUCAACCGGAUAGAGUGCCUGACUACGAAUCAGGAGGUUGCGGGUUCGAGUCCCUCUGGGCGCA